UACGUAGGGUGCAAGCGUUAAUCGGAAUUACUGGGCGUAAAGCGUGCGCAGGCGGGUAUGUAAGUCAGUGGUGAAAUCCUGGAGCUUAACUCCAGAACUGCCAUUGAUACUAUAUAUCUUGAAUAUUGUGGAGGUUUGCGGAGUAUGUCAUGUAGCGGUGAAAUGCUUAGAUAUGACAUAGAACACCUAUUGCGAAGGCAGCAGGCUACACAUAUAUUGACGCUGAGGCACGAAAGCGUGGGGAUCAAACAGG
rnacentral:rRNA from 1 species